GACGAACGCUGGCGGCGUGCCUAAUACAUGCAAGUCGAACGCAGUGGGGACGGGUGAGUAACACGUGGGUAACCUCCCAUCAGAGGGGAUAAAACUUGGAAACAGGUGCUAAACCGAUACUGAUGGAUGGACCCGCGGAGCAUUAGCUAGUUGGGUAGGGAACGGCUCACCAAGGCCACGAUGCAGAGCCGACCUGGGAGUGUGUGCGGCCACACUGGGACUGAGACACGGCCCAGACUCCUACGGGAGGCACCAUUAGUGAAUCUUCGGCAAUAGACGAAAGUCUGACCGAGCAACGCCGCGUGAGUGAAGAAGGUUUGCGGAUCGUAAAACUCUGUUGUUAGAGAAGCGGUAUCUAACCAGAAAGCCACGGCUAACUACGUGCCAGCAGCCGCGGUAAUUC
rnacentral:rRNA from 1 species